UAUAUGUAUGUAUGUGUGUGUGUGUGUAUGUACUUAAUAAUAUAAUGAAAACCCUAUCUCUACUGAAACAGAGCCAAAGCAAAAAGUCUACAUUCCAAUUAAUUCCAUACCUAAUUUGAAUCUCAAAGUACUUGAGGAGAUGUAAUUUAAAUGCAGAUACCUUUUUAUUCUUAAGAAUACCUGAUUUACUGGUAAGAAGCAACUACAGAGCACCCUCCUUGUAAGCUGAGCGUUGCUUCUUAAAUUGAAGGCACUAAAGAUGAAGAUUGCUAAAUAUUUUAAGAAGUGUAUUUGGUGUGUAUGACUUGAACUGAAAAGCAUUCUGAUUUUCACAUUCUUUUAUAGGUGCUGAGGAAGAAUUGCUUUGACAUGAAUGUAUAACAGAAUUAAUUUAAGGUUUUACAUUUUUGGAAGCUGUUCUCAAGCUGCUUUUGGGAUUUUUUAUUGUAAUACUGUUAUUAGAUAGCUUGUUGGAAGCGCCUAAUAGAUGAAACUGAAGAUCUUAACACGCAUUUCUUUCAUUUUUGACAGCAAACUGUCAAAAAAGCUUAGAGUUUAGCUGGCAAACACAACUGAGGUUGGGUUUGUAACUCACUGUUCCUAUAGUCUAAUUUUAAAGUAUUGUGACUGAAAGGGCUUGAAGCACAGAUUCACUCGGGAUAUGUUUGAGUGCACUGUAUGUAGUCCCAUCCCUGCCAUGGAUGCUGCAAGAGCUGCUGGAGAUUCGAAUUUGACCCUGAUGUCUGGGAAGUGACACCAGCCUACGGAGCUGCGUGGUGCAGAUCUAUCUAUCUCUCAUCUAGAAGAACGUGGCCAGAGACAAUCCUGACUUCUGAAUGUGAAGUGGCUGGAAGAGUGGGGCUGCUGACAAUGCAGAAAAUGCUGGGACUGGAUCUCCAUGGAGACCUGCGGAUUCCAGCAAGUUCCAUUUCCAGGAACACCGUCCCCAGCUAAAGGGAGUUGUGCAUCUGUGAAGUCAACCACUUUGUGCCAUUUAUUUCUAAUAGGGCCUCAUAACAAGUGUUAGGUAUUCUUGGGUAUGUUUCAAGAUGGAGAAAUCUACUGAUUUAAUGCUCAGGAGUUCGUUAUCUCUUUAUCAUGUGUGUAUACAAAGUUAUAUAAACUAGGGAGAACCGUUUACCAGAGGCGGUGUAAGGAAGUGCCGUUUUCGCAUCCUUUUUGGAUGCUUUUCCCACAUUAUUAAAGGCUGCAGAGUCCCUUUUCGUUUUUCUCUGGUAAUAAUAAUUCAGCCUGUUGUUCUUAGUGGAGGGGGAAAAAAUAAAUCACACUGCUAACCUUGUGAGAGGAGGAAUUUAACAAAGCUCAAGCUUUCAGAUGGGCUCAAGAUUCAGUAAUAGAAGCCUUGACUUAGAAGCAUUAGGGAUAAUUUUUCUUCAUGUCCUUGAAUAUCAGUGGCAGCUCUUAAAACUUAGUAAAGUGAUGCUGGUGAUCUUUCCCAUUAAUCAUGGUCCGUGUUCUUGACACGCAUUCAUGAUUCUGGGUUCAUGACAUGUUCACCAUCGGUCCGUGCAAGCCCCUCUCGCAGGCUUUCUAUGUUUUUGAAACAUGGCCAAACAACACUCAGUAUGCUCCUUCACUUAGAGUUGCUUGUUUUUUUUCUAUUAAGUUUUUUUUUUUAAUUAGGUAAUACAUGCACAUGUUUCAGAAUUUAAAAGAUACAAAAGAGUCAAGAGCACAGGGUAAGAGCCCGGCUUUUGCCUGUCACCUGGCUACCUAUUUUCCCUCUUCAGCAUCAGUUGAUGUAACUAACCUAUGUCUUAGCAGAGAUGUUCUCUGUAUCUGUACAUAUAUGUAUAGACUGAUGUCUGUUUUAUCCUCAUGCAUAUUACAGCACAUUAUUCCCAUCAUUCUGUACCUUGCUGUUCUCACUGCUCUUGGCCCAGGGAGCACAGAACUGAAACAGAGGGAGCUGGAGGAUCCCAUGUACCAUGUUUUCAAGCUGUUUUAGAUGGAGAUGUGACUGUGACAGCUGCUGGUAGUCAACGUUGGCUCCAUGCUGAGGCCCAUGCAAGGAUCUGUCUUUGCCUUCCACCCCCCAAAUAAAAUUUCCUAAGGUAGAGGUGCUCAUUGUUUUUAAAAGGACAACAAAGAAAGGAAAGAAAAGUGAUCAGUGAUCCUCCUAGCAAGGAUGUUCUAUCAGUUAGUUUAGACUGGGUUAUACUGUGAUAACGAGCACCCUAAUCUCAGCUGCUUACAACAAAGAUUUCAUUCUGUUUCUCUUUCACAUCCACUGUGGGUGAGCAAGAGGUUCUGCUUAUUUAAUUGCUUGGGGACCAAGGCCGUGGAGCAGCAGCCCUUUCUGAUAUUGCUGCUCCCUGUGCCGGAGGAAAAAGUGCUGUGAGGGCCUUAAACCAACAAUUAAAUGCUCAUUUCUACUCAUAGUGCAUUGGCCAGAAUAAGUCACAGGGUCCCAUCCUGCCACAGAGGGGCAGGAAUGUACCCUGUUAGUCAGGGAGACAGAAAUAUUUAGUGAACAGGAAGCAUUAAUGUCUACCACAUUUAGCUUUUUAGAUUUUUCAGUGUGUAUUUAUAUACGUAGAUAUCUCUAUAGAGAGAGAUGUUUUUACAUUAACAAGGUAAGCCCUAUAAAUACUACUGUUGUUUUUUCUACUUCAUAUUCAAUAAUGGAAUUUUUCAUUGUCCUAAAUACAUGUCCACAUACAUAUUUCUCAGUGGAUGCAUCAUAUUGCAUAGUACAGAUAUAUAAUAAUUUGUUUCCUUGUGGCUCCCCUACUGAGGAAAAUGUCCAUGCAUUCAUUUGCAUAAAAUUGGGUAGAUAAUUUUAGAGGUGGUAGACCUCCCCCAGCCAAGCCAUGAAUUCCUGUCACAGUACUAGGUUGUACGUAUAAGUUGUAUUUAGAAUAAGCCUUCUUUAUGCUGUUCAUCCUCUCAUAAAGUACCUUCUUACAAUUUUUUUAACUUGGUGUUUUGGAGAGAACCAUAUAUUCACAUGGUUCUGAGAGAAAUGUAAAGUGAACAGCCUCUGCUCGGCCCCUCCCAGCCCAUGUCUGUCUUAGUUUCCUCCAGCCCGCUAUCCCCCAGAGGUUUUAGUUUCUUAUGUUUACCUUGAUUUCUAAAAAAUGCAUUUGCAUGAAAUACAGAUUCUUUUAAAAAUUACUUUAACCAUUUUUAUUUUGGGAUAAUUUGAGAUUUACAGAAGAUUUGCAGAGAUUACACAGAGAGCUCACCUGUUUCCCCUAACAUUAACCCUGCUUUACCAUAGUACAUUUGCCAAAACCAAGAGGCCAUCAUUGAUGCAACUGCUAACUAAACUACAGACCUUAUUUGGAUUCCUCCACAUUUUUCAUAAAUACCUUUUUUCUGUCCCAGGAUACUUGGAUUUAAUAGAUUUUUUUGAAUUGAAAGAUAGCACAUUCUACCCAUAUAGUUCUAAACCUUGCUGUUCUUGACAGAUACCAUAUUUCACUGAUUCUACAAUACAAUAGAAUGUAUUAUUUUAAGUACUACAAAGAAAGGAAACAAGGUGCCAAUAAUAACUAAGUCACAGAUUUUAAGAUGUAGCAUCAUUUCAGAGAUACUCAAAUGUGAAAAAUAUACAUCUUAGUAUUGAUGGGUUGGAAUGUAUCUUGGAAAGCUUUUAAUUUGAUUUCAUAGAGACCUCCUCAUUCUUUUUUCAUAGCUGCAUGGAAUUUCCAUUUUAUAGUGCACAUAAGAUUGUUCAUCAAACCCUUACUUAUACUCAUUUGGAUUGUUUUCAGUCUUUAGCUAUAAAAAAUAAUGCUGUACUGAAUAUGUCAUUCUAUAUGUAUAGAUGUGUAUAGGGGAUGACUUUUCAAAAGUGAACUGCUGAGUUAGAGCUAUAUAUAUUUUUAAUUUUGAUAGAUGUUAUCUGCAUUUAUUUACAGUACCACCAGCAGUGCAUGAGAGGACUUGUUUAUAACUUCACCAAAUGAGUGGGUUACCAAACUUUUAGAUUUUUGCCAGUCUGACAGGUAGAAAAUCGUAGUCUCAAUGUCAUUUGUAUUUCUCUUGUGAGCACAGGUUGAAUUUCUGAAAACUGGCUCUAAAUAAUACCCUUUGCCCGUUUUUCUAUUGGGCUGUACUGGCUGUUUCCAAAUUAUGUACAUUAGUUCUUUAAAUUAGGGAAAUUAUCUGUGAUAAUUUGCAAUUAUGUUUUCUGUUUGUCAUUGGUGUUUUAAAUUUCUUAACAGCUGUGGGGAGGUGUGUUUGUCAUGCAAAAUUUAUAGGUGAACCUGCUAAUCUUUUCUCUUAGGCUUCUGGAUUUUAAGUCCUAGCUGGACUCCACAAAUUUAUUAAGGAAUUCUCAUGUGUUUCUUCCAUUUCUCCUGUCCUGGCCUUUAAUCCUGUUUUGCUCCCACAUUUUACUUAUAUCAUUAACCUGUCGUACAUUGUUAUUUUAUUAAGUAACUAUAUUAAAACUGUCAUCUUUUAAAGAGA